UACGUAGGGACCAAGCGUUGUCCGGAUUUAUUGGGCGUAAAGAGCUCGUAGGCGGCCUGCCACGUCGGAUGUGAAAGCUCAGGGCUUAACCCUGAGAGGCCAUUCGAUACGGGCAGGCUAGAGGUAGGUAGGGGAAAGUGGAAUUCCUGGUGUAGCGGUGAAAUGCGCAGAUAUCAGGAAGAACACCCGUGGCUAAGGCGGCUCUCUAGUACGGUACUGACGCUGAGACGCGAAAGCGUGGGGAGCGAACAGG
rnacentral:rRNA from 1 species